AAAAGGUAAACAGCACUUCUUCAGCAAGGUUUAAAUUUUGCCUCUUUAUUCUGGUACAUUUUAAGCUUUAAUUAGCAUGCUUGAUCCUCUUAAACAGAAAUCAGAAUGUGUAAAAUCUUUAUAUUAGCAGAAAGAAGAGAGACCUGGGAAACACAUGGAUCUUGUUCAUUACUAUAUCUGAGAUCUGUCCUUCUCCCUAAAUUAAUUAGUUGCAAAUUAGUUUUGUAAUUCAAUGAAAAACUGAACAUGCUUGAGCAAGCAACCUCCUGAGAAGCUAGACAUGAACAUGAAUAGAUUUUAGUUCUAUCCAGACAGAUUCCUGUGUCCAAAUCGUGUCACUAAGGUGUAAUCCCCAGGGCUCACUAUAGGUAUGAAACUGAAGAGAUGUAAAGCUCCAAAGUAUAGUGCUAUUUGCAAAAAAACGAAAUGAGAAUUACAUUCAAUAAUAGGUAUGCUGGGCUGCUUUCCAUUAUCACUGAACAGGUUCAGACAAAGCUACUGUUGGAGAAGGGACAUACCUCCCAAAAGAAGUUUCUUAAAGCUUGGGGAAUGAUCUUGUGGGAUGUCCCCUGUGUAAAUGGAACAUGAAGCUUUUGCAGUGGGAAAAUAAUUUGUUGGGAAUUCUCAUCUACAGCAGAAAAUACCUUUUUCCUGCAGGGAAAUGAAAAGGAUAUUACUAACUGACAAUCUGCUCCCUUUCUUUUAGGAAUGGAUUUGACUUGUUACAAGCAGAGAGAGAGAAAAUCUGGCCUUCAACCCCAGAAAGCCAGAAGCUGAUAAGCUGGUGAGGGUCUUGAAGGGAAUGGCAUUAGCACUGUGAGAAAACUGAAAAAGAAGCUGUGACAAUGCCAGCAAAUCAUGGGUCCAGCAACAGAGAAAACUCAUUGCCCCCCCUGGAUAUGAAGAGGAGACAGCUGAGUCAGAAUA